UGUAUUGGGUUGGCCAAAGAGUUUGUUCAGGUUCUUCUGUAAGAUGUUAUGGAAAAACUUGAACGAGCUUUUUGGCCAGCCCAAUAUAAU
rnacentral:miRNA from 1 species